CUUCAAUCCUGCUUGGGUAGGCGAGCCACCGUCAGCUAGACGAGGGUGAUUGGAUAAUUCCUCACUGGGAAAACUUUCCAGCCCAAGAGGGGCAAAAUCCUGCACUCCUGAAAAGAUCAUCCUCCACUGAGCAGCCCAACGUCCUACCCUGCCUCACCCCUACGAUUGGCCUUACUCUCCUAAAAAGACAGCCAAGGCUUGCCCUCAGACAAUCAAGGAAAGCCUCCGGUAUGAGAGAGACCAAAAUUAACAAAAAGGAACUCAGAAAAUAGAGGCUAUGAAGUUGGUAGGAAAACUUGCUUCAAAAGGAAAGGAAAGAACACAUUCAAAAGGAACAUUCGGAAGAAAAAAAGUUGAUUGUAAGUUGAAAAUAGUACAGUAGAAGUGAAAAAUUCAACAAAAAUGAAGGAAAAUAAGAAGGAGGACACAAUCUUAAAGAAGCUUCUAAAAAUGCAAGACCACUCAUUUUGAUGGAUCUUCUCAAGUUGCUAUGUACAGGUCAGAUCCUGAGUGUGAUUCUGAGAUGACAUAGAUGAAACAGAGACCAUGUUUUGUCCCCAACAUAGUGCCUGAUACAUAGGUACUCAAUAAAUAUGUAUUGAAAUGAGGCCACUCCAUCUGGAUCGUUUUCCAGGCUUCAGCCCUCAGUUGAACUCUCCAUAGGACCUGAAAUAC